rnacentral:rRNA from 1 species
CCCUUAGAUGUUCUGGGCCGCACGCGCGCUACACUGAUGAACGCAACGAGACCACCUGUACCGAAAGGCAUGGGUAAACUUGUGAAAGUUCAUCGUGAUGGGGAUAGAUUAUUGCAAUUAUUAAUCUUCAACGAGGAAUUCCUAGUAAGCGCGAGUCAUCAGCUCGCGUUGAUUACGUCCCUGCCCUUUGUACACACCGCCCGUCGCUCCUACCGAUUGAAUGGUCCGGUGAAUAAUUCGGACUGCAGCAGUGCUUGGUCCUCCGGGCUUUGCAGCGGAAAGUUUAGUGAACCUUAUCACUUAGAGGAAGGAGAAGUCGUAACA